AGAUUUUGACGGUUUCGACGAGGUGUCCAUCCCCCCCCCCCCACCCCCGCCAACUUUCAGAGGGACCACAACGGUGGAGACAUGAGGGAUUUUGAAGAGGCGACCGGACUCAAGAAUACUUAUUGACAUGGUGAGUGAAGAGUCGUGCUAUUGAUUUUUUCCAACUGUUUUACAAUGAUUCUGUGUUUGAACAGAUAAUCAGGGCGACAAUGAGAAUGCAGCCUACAAGUGAACGAGCGAUCACAACAACAACAAAGAUGUGCAUGAAGAGAAUUUACCUGUAACACCUGGGAUUACCUGUGCCGUCCAAGAUGACAAGACCACCGUAUUAUGUUUACCUUGUAUCUGUGACUUAUUUUUGUGAUUUUUAAUACAAUUUGAGCC